rnacentral:rRNA from 1 species
AGCCGGGGGGGGGUGCUUACCAUGCAGUCGAACGAUGAAGACCGUGCUUGCACGGUUGGAUUAGUGGCGAACGGGUGAGUAUCACGUGAGUAACCUUCCCUUGACUCUGGGAUAAGCCCGGGAAACUGGGUCUAAUACCGGAUACGACCAGUCCUCGCAUGGGGUGCUGGUGGAAAGAUUUAUCGGUCUUGGAUGGACUCGCGGCCUAUCAGCUUGUUGGUGAGGUAAUGGCUCACCAAGGCGAUGACGGGUAGCCGGCCUGAGAGGGUGACCGGCCACACUGGGACUGAGACACGGCCCAGACUCCUACGGGAGGCAGCAGUGGGGAAUAUUGCACAAUGGGCGAAAGCCUGAUGCAGCGACGCCGCGUGCGGGAUGACGGCCUUCGGGUUGUAAACCGCUUUCAGCAGGGAAGAAGCGAAAGUGACGGUACCUGCAGAAGAAGCGCCGGCUAACUACGUGCCAGCAGCCGCGGUAAUACGUAGGGCGCGAGCGUUAUCCGGAAUUAUUGGGCGUAAAGAGCUCGUAGGCGGUUUGUCACGUCUGCUGUGAAAGCCCGGGGCUCAACCCCGGGUGUGCAGUGGGUACGGGCAGACUAGAGUGCAGUAGGGGAGACUGGAAUUCCUGGUGUAGCGGUGAAAUGCGCAGAUAUCAGGAGGAACACCGAUGGCGAAGGCAGGUCUCUGGGCUGUUACUGACGCUGAGGAGCGAAAGCAUGGGGAGCGAACAGGAUUAGAUACCCUGGUAGUCCAUGCCGUAAACGUUGGGCACUAGGUGUGGGGGACAUUCCACGUUUUCCGCGCCGUAGCUAACGCAUUAAGUGCCCCGCCUGGGGAGUACGGCCGCAGGCUAAACUCAAUGAAUUGACGGGGGUCCCGCACAAGCGGCGGAGCAUGCUGAUUAAUUCGAUGCAUCGCGAAGACCUUACCAUGGCUUGACAUGGACCGGACCGCUGCAGAGAUGCAACUUC